UCUUCAUUUCCCACACUCUCU
rnacentral:miRNA from 1 species